AUUGAACGCUGGCGGCAUGCCUUACACAUGCAAGUCGAACGGUAACGGGCCUUCGGGUGCCGACGAGUGGCGAACGGGUGAGUAAUACAUCGGAACGUGCCCGAUCGUGGGGGAUAACGAGGCGAAAGCUUUGCUAAUACCGCAUACGAUCUACGGAUGAAAGCAGGGGACCGCAAGGCCUUGCGCGGACGGAGCGGCCGAUGGCAGAUUAGGUAGUUGGUGGGAUAAAAGCUUACCAAGCCGACGAUCUGUAGCUGGUCUGAGAGGAUGAUCAGCCACACUGGGACUGAGACACGGCCCAGACUCCUACGGGAGGCAGCAGUGGGGAAUUUUGGACAAUGGGCGCAAGCCUGACCCAGCCAUGCCGCGUGCAGGAUGAAGGCCUUCGGGUUGUAAACUGCUUUUGUACGGAACGAAAAGCCUUCUUUUAAUACAGGAGGGUCAUGACGGUACCGUAAGAAUAAGCACCGGCUAACUACGUG
rnacentral:rRNA from 1 species